CUUAUGAUCUAUGUAGAAAUGAGAACCUAAUUUUUUCCCUUUCACUCAUCAGCAACUUAAACCCAUGCCGCCUCCUCCUACUCCCAAUCCCUCUCCCCCAUCCACCAAACUCUAAACCUCGUGCUCUCCUCCGGCUUCGCCCCCGACGUCGCCACCGCUGACAUCGCCGUCCGUGCCCUCUGCUCCGCCUCCCGUCUCGACCACGCCGUCCAAUUGCUCAAGGAAUUCGCCUCCAAGCACUGCCCCCCGGACACCUUCACCUUCAACCACCUCCUCAAGCACCUCUGCAAGUCCCGCCCCUUCUCCUCCGUCUAUGCCUUCAUCGACGAGAUGUGCCCCGACUUCGCCCUCAAGCCCGACCUCGUCACCUACACCAUCCUCAUCGACAACGUCUGCAACUCCAAGAACCUCUGAGAGGCCACGCGCCUCGUCGUUGUCCUCCAUCGCGAGGGCUUCAAGCCCGAUUGCUUCCUCUACAACACCAUCAUGAAUGGCUAUUGCACCCUCAGCAGGGGGAGCGAGGCCAUCGAGGUUCUUAGUUAGUUACUUCCCAUCUCACGUUGUAUAUAAGCUAAGUAGAUGGCUAGAUGUAAUGUGUUUCUGUUUGUUCACUUCCUUGAUUUGUUAUUACUAACGAAUGGCCAAGUGGGGUGACCAAUAGACUAGCUGCUUCGGACAUUCCUGCUGGACUCUCUAAGGCUGUCGGCAGUGAUUCAACUAUAUCAGAGUUAGUGUAAGAGAUCAAACCACAGUAAUUGUUAGAUAGAUAGCAGCUACAUUUUUUGUUGUUGAAAGUUUUGUGUGGAACUACCAUAAAGGUAGUUAACAUCUUAGGUACUUUAUGUUUAAUGAAUAGAAUUGUAUGCGUGAACUACAUUUCACAGUUUUUGGUUGGAUUGUGCACUUGAGAUUUGACAGGGUAAGGCCGCUGGUUCCUUGUUCACUUGAGGGUUUGUGUGUUCUAUCAUGUUCCGUAUACUUGUUAUAGGAUAGUGAAUUUUGAUAUUGCAUUUGUUGUCCUUGUAACUGGGAAUGACAAUUUCACUAGCAGUAAAAAGUAAAUGGAUUUGGUUGGGUUAAUAAGCAUGAGAUUAAUUAAAAUUACAAGACUAGGGCUAUACGAGAAUCAUGAAUAGAUCAGGAUUUGUGCCAUAUGUCCUGGAGGAAUUUGGUAUGCUAAAUGUGCCUUUUGUGGACUCUCUUGUGGCCUCUGUAAAAGAAGGCCGAUUCUAGCCAUUGCAGUUUUUUCUCAUGAUUUUUUUUGGGGGUAGUUAUCACAUUGUAGGCACUAAAGGAAUAUACUAUGCCCGUGAACCAUAUUCCAAUGUAGAUGCUGUGCAUGUCACUCGUUUCAUAGGGCUUGCAUCUGUUGGAAAUAGAGAUGAACAGGGCAAAGUUGGAUGGAAAUGCUAGAUUGUUGGACUUCACAUAGAAACUGGAACCAGCUUGCAUCAGAACAGUUGAAUUGGGAAAGAUGACAAAGGAUCUUGCAUCAGAACAGUUGAAUUGGAACUCCAUUAGGUUUUUUUAUUGAGAAUUAUGAAACAAGGGGUGAGAAGGCUAUAAGAAAUGUUAAAUAUCACUUCUUAAAAUUUUUUCUUCCCCCUCAUUCUCACUUGCUUUUAAUUGUCAAGGACCAACUCUGCUUAAAGCUCAAGCUGUUAGAUUAGGUUCAUGAAUGAUUUUAUUUCUCUAAUGUCAAAUUACAGAGUUUUUGCUCCCCUGUAUAUUUUAAUUAUUUGGAUUUUCUUGUUAGUUACAUUGUUGUAAACCUGGACUAGUGGAGGAAUGAAUAUGAGGGCUAGGUAGGUCAUCUGUUUGACUGCUGGUCUGACUAAAAAUUCUAGCUUUACAAGAAAAAGGGGAAAAAGUCAUUAUGUAGGCUCAAUUCAACCUGUAAUUCCAAUGCCAUCAACUUAUAUUUUGCUUAA